CUUGAGCCCUUGUAACAGAAUCCACAGCUGUCAUUCAGGAGCCGGGCCCGCCCCCAGAGUGACCUUCCUCAGCGGACACGCCCCGUCCACCUGUUCCACAGGUGCGCCCGGCAAGAUGGCGGCGGGGUGAGGUUCUGCGGUGUUAGGACGCCGAAAUGAGUGUUCUGUUUGAGCGUGCUCUCGACGUUUUAGAAGUCAUUUCUGCGGCUCCUGGUUAUCUGGUUCUCCUUUCCAGCUCCACUCCAGCAACUCGACGAGCGUUGGCAAGUUAUUCUUGACAAUGUGCGCCUGGCAAGAUGGCGGCGGGGCGAGUGUCUGCGGCGUUAGGUGACAAAGGGAUUUCAAAAACGGGCCACAAGUUAUUAAAGUGUUUUUUCCGAG